rnacentral:rRNA from 1 species
UAGGGAAUAUUGGACAAUGGGGGCAACCCUGAUCCAGCCAUGCCGCGUGAGUGAAGAAGGCCCUCGGGUUGUAAAGCUCUUUUGUCCGGAAAGAAAAGCAUUCGGUAAAUACCCGGAUGUUCUGACGGUACCGGAAGAAUAAGCACCGGCUAACUUCGUGCCAGCAGCCGCGGUAAUACGAAGGGUGCAAGCGUUACUCGGAAUUACUGGGCGUAAAGCGUGCGUAGGUGGUUGUUUAAGUCUGAUGUGAAAGCCCUGGGCUCAACCUGGGAAUGGCAUUGGAAACUGGGCAGCUAGAGUGCGGUAGAGGGUAGUGGGAUUCCCGGUGUAGCAGUGAAAUGCGUAGAGAUCGGGAGGAACAUCUGUGGCGAAGGCGACUGCCUGGACCAGCACUGACACUGAGGCACGAAAGCGUGGGGAGCAAACA